UGCAUUAUCUGAGAUUGAUGCGUCUUUCUAUCGGUGAACGUCUCGGUCAAAUAAAUGAUCAAUAUUUCAAUAUUGAGGGCGGACCAAGCCCCUAGGGCCCCCCAGUAAUGCCGGCCCUGGAUAUGAGUGAGAGGGGAGAGAGGGAGAGAGGGAGAGAGGUAGGAGGAACUAGUUAGAGGCAGAGAGAGAGACAAUGAGAAUGUGAGAGAGAGGCAGAGACAAUGAGAAUGUGUGUGUGUGAGAGAGAGAGAGAGAGAGAGAGAGAGAGAGAGAGAGAGAGAGAGAGAGAGAGUGAGUUGGGGAAGUAGUGCUCAUCAUUGUAGUGAAGGGUUAAAAUGUAUUAAUAGUGUUGUUAUUAAUUUGCUCACGUGCCAUUGUACUUAUGCUCACUGUAUAGCUGAAUAUUGAGGCCUCUGUUUGUAUCUAGCUCUCUGCCAAAACCCACAGCCCCUCGUCUGUGAGAAAAGGUGAGAAAAGGGACUGUGGAUGAUAGCGAGACACAGAGAGACAGCAUCUGUUUUUCUCUGAAACAAGGGCAGAUUUUCAUAUUGCUGAGACAGGUUCUCAGAAAUCUUGUGUUAAGAAAAACUUGUUAUUUUAGAUGCACAUGCAGGUUUUGACAUAGGUAUAUAAGAACAUGUCUUUCUAUUGUUCGGGGCAGAACUCAGGAGAGACAUAAGUAUGUAUGUGUUUCAUGAUGUUGUAUUUACAGAGGAAUUUCAUUUCACCAUUUUGUUUCUCUUGACAUUUUCUCUAUAUCACACUGUGGCUAUUACACACAUCACUUCCUGUUCAGCUUCCCUGUUCUAACAAUACAGUCUUAUAUCAGUCUUACACAGAAGAAAACAUAAUUUCUAUUUUUCUUUUCAGCUCCGCCUAUUCAGCCUGACAUCACUAGGACCAGUCCCCGCACCUCUGUCAUAGUCAGCAGGACAACGGUAGUCAUAACAACAGAGAAAGCGGUGAGCAGAAAAUCAUUAACAACAGCAACCCCAACAGAAGCAAUGACACCCGAUUCAGCCGCUGGUAAGAAACCUGUGUGUGUGUGUGUUACUAGUGUGUUAGUGUGUGUACUCCAGGUGUGCUUGUGUAUAUCAGGGCAGGUCUGGGGAUGGUGGUGUGUGUGUUACUAGUGUGUUACUGUGUGUUCUCCAGGUGUGCUGGUGUAUAUCAGGGCAGGUCUGGGGAUGGUGGUGUGUGUGUUACUAGUGUGUUACUGUGUGUUCUCCAGGUGUGCUGGUGU
rnacentral:lncRNA from 8 species